ensembl:lncRNA
UUCUUUUUCCAUGGUGAAUUGGAUGUUUGGGUGGAUGCUGUUAAGAUGGUCCAGGAACUUGCUGAGUUCUUCCUCUCCAUGGCUCCAAAUCGUGAAGGUGUCAUCUACGUAUCUGAACCAAACAGUUGGCUUUUUUGGUGCUGUUUCUAGGGCCUGUUUUUCAAAGUAUUCCAUAUAGAAAUUUGCUACUACUGGGCUGAGAGGGCUCCCCAUGGCCACUCCAUCCUUCUGUUCAUAGAAUCCAGUGUCCCACUGAAAGUAGCUAGUGGUGAGGCAAUGGUGAAACAGGGCUGUGAUGUCUUCUGGGAAGUUUUGUUUGAUUAGUGUGAGGGUGUCAGCUACUGGGACUUUGGUAAAAAGGGACACCACAUCAAAGCUGAUCAGGAUGUCCUUGGUGCUUAGAUUGAGGUUGCUGAUCUUUUCUAUAAAGUGUGUAGAGUCCUUGAUAUAAUGUGCAGUGAGCCCAAUGUGGGUUUGUAGCUGUGUAGCCAGAAAUUUUGCCAGGUUGUAAGUCGGCGAUCCAAUGGCACUUACAAUGGGUCUGAGUGGGAUGGAGUCCUUGUGGAUUUUGGGGAUUUACAAAAAUCAGUUGUGCAGCCCUUUAAACUGGAUUCUGCAAAAGCUGUUGGCGUAUGUCAAAGUUAAUGGAGGAGUUCUUGAUUAGAGUGUUCGUUUUUCUGGUGAUUUUGUUAGUGGGGUCUUGUUUCAGUUUCUUGUAAAUUGUGGGAUCUAGAAGUUGUCUGAUUUUUUCUUUGUAUUGUUUUGUUUCCAUGAUUACUGUGGCAUUCCCCUUGUCAGCUGGAAGAAUGAUGAUUUCAGGAUCUGAGUUGAGAUCUUUGAUGGCCUGUCUUUCUUUUCUCGUUAUGUUGCUGGGGGGGGAGUUUUGCAUUUCUCAGGAUCCUUGCUGUUUCCAUUCUUACCUCCUCUGCUUCUUCCUCAGGGAAAACUCAAGAAUCAGAACAGUAAAUAAAAAGCAAUACUCUAAAAACAGAGGAUUUCCAGACAUGAAUCAACCUAGGGCAGUUAACGACUCUAAACAAAGGAUGCCCCAGAGGCAGGAAGAAGACAGCAGAUAAGCUUUUCAAUGCUAAUUAAAGUGAUUAACUACACACAUUCACACUGACCUCUCUCACCCUAGACUUUCCACAGAUAUAUAUUUACCUCUUUGCUUAGUUUUCUCCAUACCUCACAACCUCUGAGGAUGCCUGCCAUAGAUGUGGGUGAAACGUCAGGAGAGAAUGCUUCUGGAACAUGGCCACACAGCCCGAAAGACACACAACAACCCUGUGAUCCUGGCCAUGAAAGCCUUCGACAACACAAUAAUUUUGUGAUUUAUGUCUGCAAAGCAGAAAAGGAAAUCAAACACAUGGCUGCAGUCUACUAAUGAUAACAGUGGCAACGAUUGUAUAAAAUAUGAUUUUCAUUUGGUUUCAGCAAAUAUUCAGGAUAAGACCAGGAAGUUGUGUGUGAAACUAGAUAGGAAAGAAAAAGUCAAGUUUCCAAACUGAUCCAAAGCCGAAUGUCACAGAGCUUAGUUACUUCCAUGUGCUUCUCUUAUAAAACUAAACUUAUUUCAUGCAUUAGGUCUCAAAUGAGGCCAGUAGCAAAAUCCUAAUGGCAUAUUUAUAUAAGAACUGAUGUCACUCAGUGGUAUGUGAAAUAUUGUGAAAGGAAGUUUCAUGUUUGCAUAGGUUGAAGGGCAGCCUGGAAAUGGUCAAAUGAACAUAUAACAUGUCUCCUGAACAGAAUGGAGGAGAUAUUCUUAAAGAAUUUGAUGAGGUGUUUAAUGAGCUUGGAUACAUUAUGGAUAUAAUACAUCAUGUAAUAUAGAUCUAAAUGUGCUGCCAAAAAUAUAUGUGCCAUUUAAGCCCCAUUAGCACUAGAGAACAAAGGAGAUGCUGAAAUCAACCGGAUGAUAAAAUUACAUGUCAUUGAGAGAUUCAGCUAUCUAGUUCUUUUCUUUAUUCCUUUUUCAGGAAGGAACACCCUAACUUGAGUAACACCUUCAACUCACAGUGAGGUAAAAGAAAGUGACUAAACUUUUGAAAGUACUGAUGUUUAAAAGCCAAAUUAAGCCAACCCCCCCCCCCCCAAAGUAAGUGGGGCUAUGCUAGGUAGGUGUGAGCAGAAGGUGAGGUAAACUCUAUGGAAAUCACUUUCU